rnacentral:tmRNA from 1 species
GGGGAUGUACUGCUUUGACGGGAUAUGCUCAUUACUAUCUGCAGAUCGUCUUUGACUAAGAAAGACGCUAAACAGAGUCACAACAUAAUUGCAAAACAAACUGCAAAAAGCAUUCUCUUAGACACUAGCGAUGCAAUCGCAUCUGCUUUCCGUCCAAGCUAUGCUCCAGCUUUAGCUGCAUAAGCUAACUGGCAUGUAUUCUUUUCAUCUCACUGGUGUGAGGGAAUAUGUGUCUAAUCCAGCCAGUGUGACAGGUAGUUCUCGUUCGUUGGAACUGCUCUAAGUAUUUUUUGACGAAGGUUGUAGUGUGAAGGUUUGUCGAUACACCCUCCACUGCAGUAACAAAAAUUGACUAUUUCUGUAGAUGAUAUUGGUGUAGCUGUUUCGGACGCGAGGUCACUCCUCGCCAUCUCCACAA